AACGAACGCUGGCGGCAUGCCUAACACAUGCAAGUCGAACGAGACCUUCGGGUCUAGUGGCGCACGGGUGCGUAACGCGUGGGAACCUGCCCUUAGGUUCGGAAUAACUCCCCGAAAGGGGUGCUAAUACCGGAUAAUGUCUUCGGACCAAAGAUUUAUCGCCUUUGGAUGGGCCCGCGUUGGAUUAGCUAGUUGGUAGGGUAAAAGCCUACCAAGGCGACGAUCCAUAGCUGGUCUGAGAGGAUGAUCAGCCACACUGGGACUGAGACACGGCCCAGACUCCUACGGGAGGCAGCAGUGGGGAAUAUUGGACAAUGGGCGAAAGCCUGAUCCAGCAAUGCCGCGUGAGUGAUGAAGGCCUUAGGGUUGUAAAACUCUUUUACCCGGGAUGAUAAUGACAGUACCGGGAGAAUAAGCUCCGGCUAACUCCGUG
rnacentral:rRNA from 1 species